UACGUAGGGUGCGAGCGUUUAAUCGGAAUUACUGGGCGUAAAGCGUGCGCAGGCGGUUUUGUAAGCCAGAUGUGAAAGCCCCGGGCUUAACCUGGGAAUGGCAUUUGGGACUGCAAGGCUAGAGUGCGGCAGAGGAGACUGGAAUUCCUGGUGUAGCAGUGAAAUGCGUAGAUAUCAGGAGGAAUACCGAUGGCGAAGGCAGGUCUCUGGGCUGACACUGACGCUCAUGCACGAAAGCGUGGGGAGCAAACAGG
rnacentral:rRNA from 1 species